UCAAGCAAGCCUGGGACUGGGGGUGGAGGGGGAGGGGUCCUUGGCUCUAGCGAGCUUGGGACCCGUGGGGGUGUCCCGGGCUCGAGCGAGCCUGGGACCGAGGGAGGAGGUCAUGGGCUCGAUCGAGCCUGUGACUGAGGGAGGAGGUCAUGGGAUCGAGCGAGCCUGGGACCGGGUUGGGGGAGGUCCUGUGCUCGAGCGAGCAUGGGACCAAAGUAUCAAAUAUUACUGGAAAAUUCCUCUAAUUGAUGUUGCUUUAUCUUCUUUGAAAGUUGUUCCUGGAUUUUGAGCGCACACAUAUUUAAAGACUAAAGGACCUACUUGGUCCUAUCUAGGCCAUGACAAUCUACUUCCCAGAGGAAAUAAUUGUGGACAUCAUUACCAGUACUGGUGCUGGCCAUUUACUGAGGAACAGUAGAACCUCCUAAUCAUGAAUGUCCAGACGCAACUCGUAGCACUUACGGAUUGGCGUUUGACUCAAUUAAUGAUGACUAUAAGAUUCGUAAGAUUGACAAUCCACACCACUCAAAAUCUUUGCACUAAAGAGUGGUUGUGGAGAAGUAUUGAUAACCAUCCUCGUGGCUUUGACAAUAGUGUGUGAUGAAGACUCUUUGGCGUUUUGUUCGUGUUUCAUUGGAUCUGUAAGGAUAAUUCAUCCAAGUAUUUUAUGAUUUUAUUUAAUAUAUCAAAUGAGGUGUACAGGGAAAUAUUGUUGCCGGAGAGAAUAUGCAAUUUUCCCGGCAGUCGGAGAUAUCAAAUGGAAUGCUUUGUGCUUAUUGUACUCGCCGAUGGGUAAUAAAAAACUAUGGUGUCGAGGAAUCUUGGACUGAAUUAUUUAGUAUAUGAGAGCCCGAUCUACAUUUAGUCAUACCA